rnacentral:rRNA from 1 species
UACGUAGGGACCAAGCGUUGUUCGGAUUUACUGGGCGUAAAGGGCGCGUAGGCGGCAAUUCAAGUCAUCUGUGAAAUCUCCCGGCUUAACUGGGAGGGGUCGUGCGAUACGAGCGGGCUCGAGGCAGGUAGGGGGAAGCGGAAUUCCCGGUGUAGUGGUGGAAUGCGUAGAUAUCGGGAGGAACACCAGUGGCGAAGGCGGCUUCCUGGACCUGAUCUGACGCUGAGGAGCGAAAGCGUGGGGAGCGAUCCGG